rnacentral:rRNA from 1 species
GACGGAGGAUGCAAGCGUUAUCCGGAAUGAUUGGGCGCAAAGCGUCCGCAGGUGGCAGUUCAAGUCUGCUGUCAAAGACCGGGGCUUAACUUCGGAAAGGCAGUGGAAACUGAACAGCUAGAGUAUGGUAGGGGCAGAGGGAAUUCCUGGUGUAGCGGUGAAAUGCGUAGAUAUCAGGAAGAACAUCGGUGGCGAAGGCGCUCUGCUGGACCAUAACUGACACUCAGGGACGAAAGCUAGGGGAGCGAAUGGG